UUCCUGUAUCAGCCCUGCAGAAGCCUGGGGGUGAAUCCUGCAGGAUCCAGCUUGGCAGUACUGGGGUCAGGUGCACUGGGAAGGGUUCUCCUCGGCAGCGUCUGGGCGGUGCUCGCUGGGCCCCCAGGUCACAAGGUCCAGAGCAGAGGCUGUGGAAGCCUUCCCAAGGGAGCAUCUCCGGCUCAGCCCAGCCACGCCGGGUCCCUCAUCUCUGCUCCGCAGCUAACACGUUCCCUUCCGCGAUGCUCUGCAGCUGCAGCCGCUGACUCGCAAGAGUUCGGCUGCCUCGGCGGCCCCCGUAGCCACCCCCAGGCGCGGUUCGUGCAGUGAACAGGACCCCUGGCAAAGCCUCCUCCCCAAAUAAGUUGAUUUUGGCUUCCACUUCGAUGGCUUUGGCCAAGCUGGCUGCGUAGCUGUCCAAGGACUUGUGCACCUCAGCUUUCACGUGGAGAAUGGAGUUCCUGGCAGCUUCUGGGGAGAGGCAGAAAGAGCAUAAAAUGCACAGCUAUAAGCUUUCGUGUCCACACAUCGGCUCUUUCCUCUCCAGAACCUCGGGGUUGGAGAUGACAUUAAAACCUGUCCCUACCUAGGACCCCGGACACCCAGAAUGAAAAGGAGCAUUUCAGAGGCUUUCCCUGACUUCCAACCUCAUAACAACAGCUCAGUGUGGCAGGAGGAUCUAGAACUGAGCCCCCUGUGUGACAGAGCAGAGCAGGAGGCACAGAAACGCCGAGGAGCUGAGGGGCAGGACUGAAAGCCCCUGCACACCCUUGGCGAGCACAGCGACACAGGGCUCCCAACCCCCAGAGAUGGCAGAGAGACUGACCCAGGGGCCCUGGCCAUGAAGACACCAGGCAUGGUUGAGGGCAGAGGUGACGUGAUACCAACAGGAAGGCAUGAAAGCUGCAUGUUUAACCCUCGGGAGGCUGUGGCUGACCUGAGAUGCGAGGCGACUCUUUUCUCCAACACUAGGGCACCCUCCAGGCGCACGGGUUCAAGGCGUAGCUGAGCAUUGGUGUGUGGCUCACAUGACUCAUGUUAAGCUGUAACUUUUAAGCCACCAUGUUUGGAAGGCUGUGUGAUAUUCAGUAGGAUAUUACACAUAAGAUACUGCAAAUCUGGUAAAUAGUAUUUCUUUAACAACUUCUGGAUUGUAACAAAAUAAGUUAAAAUACGUAUUACUACAUAAUAAAUGCAAAUCUGUAGGU